UGGCCGUAAACGAUGUGGACUUGGUGUUGGAAUGGCUCCGAGCUGCUCCAGUGCCGAAGGGAAGCUGUUAAGCCCACCGCCUGGGAAGUACGGUCGCAAGACUGAAACUUAAAGGAAUUGGCGGGGGGAGCACCACAACGCGUGGAGCCUGCGGUUUAAUUGGAUUCAGCGCCGGACAUCUCACCAGGGGGCGACAGCAGAAUGAUGGCCAGGUUGAUGACCUUGCUUGACAAGCUGAGAGGUGGUGCAUGGCG
rnacentral:rRNA from 1 species